CUUGUCACCAUGCCUCGGAAAAUUGAGGAAAUCAAGGACUUUCUGCUCACAGCUAGGCGAAAGGAUGCCAAGUCGGUCAAGAUCAAGAAAAAUAAGGAUAAUGUGAAGUUUAAAGUUCGAUGCAGCAGAUACCGUGGUCAUCACGGACAAAGAGAAGGCAGAGAAACUGAAGCAGUCUCUGCCCCCUGGUUUGGCAGUGAAGGAGCUGAAAUGAACCAGACACGCUGAUUUGAACUGUAUUAAAAUUUUUAAAAAUUAAAAAAAAAA